rnacentral:rRNA from 1 species
UACGUAGGGGGCAAGCGUUAUCCGGAUUUACUGGGUGUAAAGGGUGCGUAGACGGUGAUGUAAGUCAGAUGUGAAAGCCCGGGGCUCAACCCCGGGACUGCAUUUGAAACUAUGUUGCUAGAGUGCAGGAGAGGUAAGUGGAAUUCCUAGUGUAGCGGUGAAAUGCGUAGAUAUUAGGAGGAACACCAGUGGCGAAGGCGGCUUACUGGACUGUAACUGACGUUGAGGCUCGAAAGCGUGGGGAGCAAACAGG